GCUGACCGCUUAUUUCUCCCUCCGUUUUCUUGGGUCUCUCGUGGUGCAUGCAGUGUAGGGUAUAAUUUCUCAUCUUCUUGGGGUUCGGUCGAUCGGUAAGCGAGCGUUUUUAGCUUCAAGAGCUUCGAGAACUGUUCCCUUUUUCUCUCUUCUUGGCGUUCUUCUUCGUCUUCUCCUACUCCUACUCAACGCAAUCUUCUUGGAGAUGGUGGGCAAAUUGUUAGUGUAGUUCUUGUUCUUUAGCGUUGGUCUUUGUUAAAACCAACCCCCAUCUCUCCUCUCCUCCGGUUGUCUUCUCUCUUCUUGAACGAUAGGCGAGGCAGCCCUUGUUAGUCUAGAAGCACAAAUAUAAUUGAUAAAUCAAUAAUAUUUAAUUUAAUUAAACAGCUCUGGGGGUUCUGAUGUCCCGCAGGCAACCGAUCUGCAGCCAUCUUGAGAUGGAGAGGUCCUCGACUGGAGGAGAGGAGAAGGGGAGAUCUUUGGGUCCCAUCGAUUCAAGAUUCGUCUGAGCCUCCCUGUUUGCUUCUACUAUUCUUAUCGUUCUCCUUUUUCUUCUUCUUGCUCUUCCAGGAGGUGAAGGCCGUGUUGUUCUGCCUCUGGCUCUCAUCCCUUCUCUUCUUUUCUUUUCUUUUCUAUUGCUUUAUAAGGAGGCUGUGAUGACUCCGGGCAGAGGGUUUGCGGCAUAAUGAAGCGGAAAAUGGUUAAUUCCAAACGGCAAGGCGAUCUUGGAUGGCCUGCUGCUGUUUAGCAGGCAACCGUUCCCAGCCGAUUUGGUUUAGUUGUAGAGAAUACCCGAAGUAACGUUACAAUGCAGGAUUAAAUGGUGAAUCUGAGCCUCCUUUUUCCUUUUAACAUCUUCACUUUUCUAAUUUCUGUUCUUUUUCUUUCCCAAGUUUCAAUUUUUCAACGCUUCUUUGUCAUAUUUUUGGAGAGUUGUUCUUGUGGCUCCUCAACAAUUUAUAGAUUUUGGAGGCCGAUGAAUCAUCCGAGACGGACUGCAUCAAUAUUAGCUAGGGUUCCGAGAAACCCCCAAAUGCUAAAUAUUUUUUUUAGAGAAUUCGUUUUCGAAAAUCAGGGAAUAUUUGCUUGCUAUUAGGGUCGCACAUUGUUCUCGAUCUUGGCUCAAUUUUUUUCUUCUUGUUUUUUUACUUAGGUUAUUUUUAACCCAUGUAACAAGGGUUUUGAUCUUCUAUUGGCUUCCUUUUGCUCCAUUAUUUUUUAGUCUUGUCCUUCUUCGUUUGAGCGUCAAUAUGGCGAAAAGACAGCCAGAAAAUUCUAUUUCGCCGUAACUACCUGGUUCCAUGAGCUGGUUUCUCUGGCGUUGCUCUUCUAAUAUGGCUUUCUUAGGGGCUGACUGGGCUUUGUGACAACUUCGCGUUGCAGUAUUUUUUCAAGCCCGUAUGAAGGAGUUCCAGGACCCUCUAGAAAUUCCUCUGGAGUUGGUAGUAGGCAACCCAUCUGCAGCCAUCAUGAGAUGGAGAGGUUGCCGGCCGGAGGAGCAGAGAAGGGAGAUCAUUUGGUUCCAUCGAUUCAAGAGUUCCUCUGAGCCUCCUAGUUUGCGUCCACCAUUCUUCUCUUUCUUCCUUUUCUUCUUGCUACUUCCAGUGGGUAAAUGCUGUGAUGUUCUGCCUCUUGCUCUCCUCCUUUCUCUUUAGUCUUUUCUUUUCUAUUGCUUUAGUAGAAGAGGCUGUAAUGAAUCUGGGCAGAGGGUUUGUGGCAUUGUGAAUCGGAAAACAGUUAAUUCCAAAUGGCAAGGCGAUCAUGGAUGGCCUAUUACUGUUUAGCAGGCAACUGAUCACAGCUGAUUUGGUUUAAUUCUGUAGAGGGUAUUCGAAGUAAUUAUACAAUGCUGGAUUAAACAGUGAACCUGAGCCUCCUUUUUUUUCUUCCCCUUCACUUUUUUAAUUUCUGUUUAUUUUCUUUUUGAAGAUUCUACAUUUCAAUGCUUUUAACUUCUUUUCUAGAAUCAAUUUUGUAUGAUGAGCUGGUCCCGUGUGGCUCUACAAAAAUUCAUAGGUUUUGGAGGCUGAUGAAUGAUCAGGGAUGGGGACUGCAUCAAUAGUAGCUAGGCUUCUGAGAACCUGAGUCCUUAAUAUUUUUUUUUUGAUUUUUUUUUUGAAAGUUAGAAUAUUUGCUUGUUAUUAUGGUUCCACAGUGUUCUCAAUUCUGACUCUUUUCUUCUUUUUUACUCAAGUUGUUUUUCCCAUGUAAUGAUGGUUUUAAUCUUGCAUUGCCUUCCUUUUAAUCUUGCAGUCUUUUCCUUCUUCUUUCGAGCAUCAAUAUUAUGAAAAGACAAUCUGAAAAGUCUCCAAUGCUAUGCUCCAGACCAAAUUCUAUUUUGCAGUAACUACUUGGUUCCUGAGCUGCUUUCUCUAGCAUUGCUUUUCUAACAUGGCUUACUUAGGGGCUGAGUGGACUUGUGACUCACUAUUCUUUUUAGCCUCUAUUCUGGAGUUGUAGGAACCUAUAAAAAUUUAUCUACUUUUUUUUCCCUUAAUCUUUCUACUUUACUCUGCAAUGAUAGUAGUAAGUUGCUUGCUUUUAUGCUUCUGUGCUUUAAAAACCUGCUUUUUAUACAACCUGUUUGGAUUUGAUAUGUACUCCGUGGGCUAACACCAUCCAUGAAAUACCCUUUCCUCUUAAACAUAUCAGCAUUUCUUGUCUACUGAAAUCAUUCAUUCAUGUAAUCAUUUUCCACAUAUCCUUAAUGGAUGUCUCAAACAAAAAUGUAAACUUUUUUUUAUUUUUGAGAACUUAUACUUAUUCUAUAUUUUGUAGUAUUAUGCCCCAAUUUUUUUGGGGUCAAGGUGGAAAUAAAAUGUAGUAUUAAUUUGGAGAUGGCACAAGAUUUCUGGUAAAUUGUACCAAACAAGCCAUUUUUUUGCUUCCUUUUUAUUGUUUGUUAAUUAUUGUACUCUAUUCUUUUAUCAUUUUUUUUUUUUAAUGUCAAGGCCUUUUCCUCCAGCAACUUUUAGAUGCAUAUGUUUUGUGGUGGUCAUGAUGAUGAUUGCGUGAAAGGCUUUCCCCUCUUCUAAAACAGUAAUUCUCUUAUUAUUAACCCAUUGCACCUUCUUGGUGCUGGAGUUGGAGGGUGGUAUCAAUAUCCUUUUUUCUUUCCCCUUCUUUCCAGUCUAAAACUAGUGAUCAUUUGUAUAGGAGUGAGCCUUAUUUGUCAGGCCAUGAUCUGUUAUUAUCAGUUUUUAGAUUACUGAGGUGAUAAUGAGAUGUUCUGAAUGUAAUUUCCCAGUAGAAGAUGUGUAGUUUGCAUGUAAUACUCUGAAACCAAAACUCCAGCAAUAACUUUCACAUUUUUUGAUUGUUCCAGAUUACAUACCCCUUUGUUAUAUUUUUUAAUAUUUUUUAAAAGAUUGGUUUAGCACACAUCUUAUGCCUACAUACGGGCAUUGUAAAUAUACAUGAACAAAAAUCGCACACACAUGCAUACGUAAGUAUACCUGGACUUGCACUGUUGUUGGUCAUGUAUGAUGCAUGUUGUUUAUUCAAAAAGAAAAAAGAGCUUGGGAUGCUUGACUAUGAUCUCAUCUAUCAGUGCUGUUAGGUAUUAAUAUGGUGAACUUACUUCCCAUUUUUGUCUAUGUGCAUGUUUCCUCUUUCUCUUAAUUAUUUAUUAGGGAGCAACCAUGGAGGGCAUAUUUACUAGAAUGUAUUUACACUAGGAAAGUGAGACAGCAGCUCUUCCAUAAAUUCCAGCCAUUCUGCACUCUUUUCUAUAUGCAUAUAAAAUACAUGGGCAUGUGAAAAUUUUUAUAUCUAUCCACAUAUAUGCUUGAACAUACAUAUCCUGGUUUUUGGUUCUAAAUCUUGUUAUAUGCAAAUGCAUCUUCAUUCAUUUUUUUUUAGUUUUCUCAAUUUUUAUGGGUGAAUAUUUGUAGACUAUUUCUCUAGUUUUGAUUAUAUAGAAACUUAUUUUCUUCGACACUGAAUGACUGUGUCCAUUGUAUGGAUUUGCUAAGCUGUGUGCUGUAAUUCUUUAUUCUGAUUGGAUAUAGUGAGAUGAAUAUUUAAUUAUCUGCUGUGUGGCAGGCAAUCAGUUUCUGCCAUUUGUUCCCAUUUGCUGUGUGGGUGGGUUUCUCAUCUUUCUCAUAGCACAAUGCUGGAAAGUAGGUAAAUCUGGGCGACCUUUUGCUCUCCCAUCACUAUUCACAUUCUGUAUGUAUGCUUGUUAACAGGUGGUGAUGAUAAGCCACAAUCAUAUGAUUCUGUUUAUGGUAUCUUUGCAUGCCAUGGAACCAUUAGUAAUUAAGCCCUUUAUCUCUCCUCUUCCUAUCUUUGAUGAUGGUGGGGCUACUUGCGUGAACUGCCCUCAUGGGCAACCAGUUGCAGCCAUUUUUAGGUGGGAGUGGUUGGAAGGUGAUUGGAUUCCAUAAAUUUAUGGAUUCUUCUGCACCCCAAACCCGAUUUCACAGCUCUUUCCCUUCUCAAUUCAUUGUACCUUCCGAAGACUAUCACUGUUAUGCAGAUAACAGUGCCUUGAAAAUCCAUGGUUGGUGUUCCUUGCUUUGCGGUGCUUUUAGAAUCAUUUGGACAAUUUUUUCUUCGUUGUUUCUCUUUGCAUGAAAAGAUGUAUACCAGUAAUUUUUACAUUCUUUUUUCCCCUCCCCUACUACUAGAUAUGUAAAUUUAUUCUCAAGUCUGGACGAUUUUUUUUUUUUUUUUUUUAUGUUUUGUUUUUUUAGUAUAUCAGAUCUUUGUCCCUAGCUUAAUUGUUCUUGAAUGCUUGAACUUUUGCCAUGAUUGGCUAUAACAUUUACCAAUCUUAUUUGUUCUCUUUAAGAGGUUCUCCCUUCUCAUAA